GACAUCGCGUGCAGCUUGCAUGCCUGCAGGUCGACGAUUAGAGUUUGAUCAUGGCUCAGGAUGAACGCUAGCGGCAGGCCUAAUACAUGCAAGUCGAACGAGAUCAAGAGCUUCGGUUCUUGGUUUAGUGGCGCACGGGUGCGUAACGCGUAUGCAACCUACCUUCUAUUGGGGGAUAGCCUUCCGAAAGGAAGAUUAAUACCGCAUAACACCAUGACCUGGCAUCGGGAUAUGGUUAAAGCUGAGGCGAUAGAAGAUGGGCAUGCGUGCCAUUAGCUAGUUGGCGGGGUAACGGCCCACCAAGGCGACGAUCUGUAGCGGGUCUGAGAGGAUGAUCCGCCACACUGGGACUGAGACACGGCCCAGACUCCUACGGGAGGCAGCAGUGGGGAAUAUUGGACAAUGGGGGGAACCCUGAUCCAGCCAUGCCGCGUGUGUGAAGAAGGCCUUUUGGUUGUAAAGCACUUUAAGCGAGGAGGAGGCUACUCUAGUUAAUACCUAGAGAUAGUGGACGUUACUCGCAGAAUAAGCACCGGCUAACUCUGUGCCAGCAGCCGCGGUAAUACAGAGGGUGCGAGCGUUAAUCGGAUUUACUGGGCGUAAAGCGUGCGUAGGUGGCCAAUUAAGUCAAAUGUGAAAUCCCCGAGCUUAACUUGGGAAUUGCAUUCGAUACUGGUUGGCUAGAGUAUGGGAGAGGAUGGUAGAAUUCCAGGUGUAGCGGUGAAAUGCGUAGAGAUCUGGAGGAAUACCGAUGGCGAAAGCAGCCAUCUGGCCUAAUACUGACACUGAGGUACGAAAGCAUGGGGAGCAAACAGGAUUAGAUACCCUGGUAGUCCAUGCCGUAAACGAUGUCUACUAGCCGUUGGGGUCUUUGAGACUUUAGUGGCGCAGCUAACGCGAUAAGUAGAC
rnacentral:rRNA from 1 species